GAGAGGGAGAGAACCCUUUGCGACCUCACAGAAAGAUGUAGGAGAGAUGUGGAGGAUCCUCCAAACUUCCAAAGGAUCAAAUUAUUAGAAAUGGAUGAAGAGGACAAGGAGAAGACAGAAGCCAAGGAAGGGCAAGAUUUCAAGAGCCUGGCUGAAGGUGUUGAAGGUGACUGACAUGUCAGGGGACAACAAAAGCUGCAGGGUCUGGCUGACUUUUGCAGAGCAACGGUGACAUCUCGUGGUCUAACAGGAGACAGUAUUCAUACGCUGACUUUUGGGUGAGGACCCACAGGUGGAGAAACACUGCUUGAAGACACCCGCCCCAACUCCAUGUGUUUCUCAGUCCCCAUUCGUUUUGCUGCCACCUG